AAAACUCAAAACAACGAAAGCCCUACCUCUCUUUCGUCCUUACGGCUCCUAGUCCGUGCCAGUGUGAAUUGAUUUAACGUAUCUGUG
rnacentral:sRNA from 1 species